AGCUCAGGCACAUGGACAUGGGGUCCCAGGCUCAGCUGCUCUUUUUCCUGCUGUUCUGGAUCUCAGAUGCCCGAGGGGCCAUUGUGCUGACCCAGUCUCCAGCCUCCCUGUCAGUGUCUGCAGGAGAGAGAGUGACCAUGUCCUGCAGGGCCAGUCAGGGCAUUGGC